ACAGUACCUUAAUGACUCUAUCACUAACUACACUUACUGUCCAAUGAACCCAACCAAUAAACAAUAUCUGUUUAACAUUAAAACUACUAAUAAAGCUGGGAAUGGAUCCACUAGUAACAUAACUGUUGGAUUUCAAUCAACAAGUUCAUCAGUUUUGUACUAAUGUACCACCACUAAUGAACAUUACAUUGAAAGGAUGUACUAAGGAUAACUGUUAUUC